ACUUAAAUAGUUUAGUUAAAAUUUUAAUUUGUGGAAUUAAAGUAAUGACAUUUGUCAUUUUAAGUA
rnacentral:tRNA from 1 species